rnacentral:rRNA from 1 species
GAUGAACGCUGGCGGCGUGCUUAACACAUGCAAGUCGAACGGUGAAGGCGGAGCUUGCUCUGCUGGAUCAGUGGCGAACGGGUGAGUAACACGUGAGCAAUCUGCCCCUGACUCUGGGAUAAGCGCUGGAAACGGCGUCUAAUACUGGAUACGAGCUGCGAAGGCAUCUUCAGCAGCUGGAAAGAAAUUCGGUCAGGGAUGAGCUCGCGGCCUAUCAGCUUGUUGGUGAGGUAAUGGCUCACCAAGGCGUCGACGGGUAGCCGGCCUGAGAGGGUGACCGGCCACAAUGGGACUGAGGGAGGGACCAGACGCCUACGGGAGGCAGCAGUGGGGAAUAUUGCACAAUGGGCGAAAGCCUGAUGCGACAACGCCGCGUGAGGGACGACGGCCUUGGGGUUGUAAACCUCUUUUAGCAGGGAAGAAGCGAAAGUGACGGUACCUGCAGAAAAAGCGCCGGCUAACUACGUG